rnacentral:tRNA from 1 species
GGUUGUGUAGAUUAUUUCUUUAAAUCCUAAGGCUGUUAACCUUAAGAAGAAUUUUGUUGAUUCUGCGGCCG